AUAUGUUAAGUGGAAAAGGAUGUGGCGUUGCCCAGACAACUAGGAUGUUGGCUUAGAAGCAGCCAUCAUUUAAAGAGUGCGUAAUAGCUCACUAGUCGAGUGACACUGCGCCGAAAAUGUACCGGGGCUAAACAUAUUACCGAAGCUGUGGAUUGUCCUUUGGACAAUGGUAGGAGAGCGUUCUAAGGGCGUUGAAGCAUGAUCGUAAGGACAUGUGGAGCGCUUAGAAGUGAGAAUGCCGGUGUGAGUAGCGAAAGAYGGGUGAGAAUCCCGUCCACCGAUUGACUAAGGUUUCCAGAGGAAGGCUCGUCCGCUCUGGGUUAGUCGGGUCCUAAGCUGAGGCCGACAGGCGUAGGCGAUGGAUAACAGGUUGAUAUUCCUGUACCACCUAUAAUCGUUUUAAUCGAUGGGGGGACGCAGUAGGAUAGGUGCCGAGAAAAGCCUCUAGAUAGAAAAUAGGUGCCCGUACCGCAAACCGACACAGGUAGUCAAGAUGAGAAUUCUAAGGUGAGCGAGCGAACUCUCGUUAAGGAACUCGGCAAAAUGACCCCGUAACUUCGGGAGAAGGGGUGCUCUUUAGGGUUAACGCCCAGAAGAGCCGCAGUGAAUAGGCCCAAGCGACUGUUUAUCAAAAACACAGGUCUCUGCUAAACCGUAAGGUGAUGUAUAGGGGCUGACGCCUGCCCGGUGCUGGAAGGUUAAGAGGAGUGGUUAGCUUCUGCGAAGCUACGAAUCGAAGCCCCAGUAAACGGCGGCCGUAACUAUAACGGUCCUAAGGUAGCGAAAUUCCUUGUCGGGUAAGUUCCGACCCGCACGAAAGGCGUAACGAUUUGGGCACUGUCUCAACGAGAGACUCGGUGAAAUCAUAGUACCUGUGAAGAUGCAGGUUACCCGCGACAGGACGGAAAGACCCCGUGGAGCUUUACUGUAGCCUGAUAUUGAAAUUCGGCACAGCUUGUACAGGAUAGGUAGGAGCCUUUGAAACGUGAGCGCUAGCUUACGUGGAGGCGCUGGUGGGAUACUACCCUAGCUGUGUUGGCUUUCUAACCCGCACCACUUAUCGUGGUGGGAGACAGUGUCAGGCGGGCAGUUUGACUGGGGCGGUCGCC
rnacentral:rRNA from 1 species